AACGAACGCUGGCGGCGUGGAUUAGGCAUGCAAGUCGAACGCGAAAGAGGGGGUAACUCCUCGAGUAGAGUGGCGAACGGGUGAGUAACACGUGAGAAACCUGCCUUCAGCAGGGGGAUAACACUCCCAACGGGGUGCUAAUACCGCAUGAGACCACGGAUUCGCAUGGAUCUGGGGUCAAAGGUGGCCUCUGCUUGCAAGCUACCGGCUGAAGAUGGUCUCGCGCCCAUUAGCUAGUUGGUGGGGUAAUGGCCCACCAAGGCGACGAUGGGUAGCUGGUCUGAGAGGAUGGUCAGCCACACUGGGACUGAGAUACGGCCCAGACUCCUACGGGAGGCAGCAGUCGAGAGGC
rnacentral:rRNA from 1 species